rnacentral:lncRNA from 1 species
GGAUGGUUCCCACCCGCGGUCUCUUCUGCACUUUCACGGGUGACCGUGCCCCUGCUGUCGGGAUACUUUGCAGAGGGGAAAAGUCUGCGUCCGCCUUCUUCACUAGAAAUGGCCCAUGUGCUCUGUAACAGAGCCAGACUGGUUUCCUAUCUCCCAGGAUUUUGUUCUCUAGUGAAAAGAGUUAUCAAUCCAAGAGCCUUUUCAACUGCAGGAUCGUCAGGUUCCGAUGAGUCUCACGUGGCCACUGCACCUCCAGAUAUAUGCUCUCGGACAGUGUGGCCUGAUGAAACCAUGGGACCCUUUGGACCUCAGGACCAGAGAUUCCAGCUUCCUGGGAAUAUAGGCUUCGAUUGUCACCUCAAUGGGACAGCCUCACAGAAGAAAAGCCAGGCCCAUAAAACCUUGCCUGAUGUUCUAGCAGAGCCUCUUUCAACCGAAAGGCACGAGUUUGUGAUGGCCCAGUAUGUGAAUGAGUUUCAGG